rnacentral:rRNA from 1 species
UACGUAGGGCGCAAGCGUUGUCCGGAAUUAUUGGGCGUAAAGAGCUCGUAGGCGGUUUGUCGCGUCUGCUGUGAAAACCUAAGGCUCAACCUUGGGCUUGCAGUGGGUACGGGCAGACUAGAGUGCGGUAGGGGUGACUGGAAUUCCUGGUGUAGCGGUGGAAUGCGCAGAUAUCAGGAGGAACACCAAUGGCGAAGGCAGCUCACUGGGACGUUACUGACGCUGAGACGCGAAAGCGUGGGGAGCAAACAGG